AUCCAGCUGACGAGUCCCAAAAAAGAUGAAACGCGCGUCCUGGAU
rnacentral:hammerhead_ribozyme from 1 species